UACAGAGGGUGCAAGCGUUGUUCGGAAUUAUUGGGCGUAAAGGGCGCGUAGGCGGUGCGGUAAGUCUGUAGUGAAAUCUCUGGGCUCAACUCAGAGUCUGCUGCAGAAACUGCCGUGCUUGAGUGUGGGAGAGGUGAGUGGAAUUCCUGGUGUAGCGGUGGAAUGCGCAGAUAUCAGGAGGAACACCUGUGGCGAAAGCGGCUCACUGGACCACAACUGACGCUGAGGCGCGAAAGCUAGGGGAGCAAACAGG
rnacentral:rRNA from 1 species